GUGAAUUGCAGAAUUUAGUGAAUCAUCGAAUCUUUGAACGCACAUUGCGCCCCUCGGUAUUCCGGGGGGCAUGCCUGUUC
rnacentral:rRNA from 1 species